UGGGGAGUAUUGGACAAUGGGCGCAAGCCUGAUCCAGCCAUGCCGCGUGGGUGAUGAAGGCCUUAGGGUUGUAAAGCCCUUUCGGCGGGGACGAUAAUGACGGUACCCGCAGAAGAAGCCCCGGCUAACUUCGUGCCAGCAGCCGCGGUAAUACGAAGGGGGUUAGCGUUGCUCGGAAUCACUGGGCGUAAAGCGCGCGUAGGCGGGUCGCUAAGUCAGGGGUGAAGUCCUGGAGCUCAACUCCAGAACUGCCUUUGAUACUGGCGACCUUGAGUCCGGGAGAGGUGAGUGGAAUUGCGAGUGUAGAGGUGAAAUUCGUAGAUAUUCGCAAGAACACCAGUGGCGAAGGCGGCUCACUGGCCCGGAACUGACGCUGAGGUGCGAAAGCGUGGGGAGCAAACAGGAUUAGAUACCCCCGUAGUCC
rnacentral:rRNA from 1 species